AAAUGUAAAUCUGUGCCUAUACUCAAAAGAUGAUUACAGUUCACUUGGGAAUACAAGAAUAUAAAUGCACAAAUGUGGAUUCUGUACUAUUAUAAAGUGCCAAAUUAUACAGUGUAGUUUGAACAGUGGUUCUUAACCACAUAUGCAUAGCAGCAUCAUGCAUGAUGUGUUUUAACGACAGAAGCCAGGACCCUACUGCACUGACUAAGUACAUUUCUGAGGUCAGAACUUGGACAUGUGUGUUUUAAAAUUCCAUGGGUGAUUUUGAGGUGUGCUAUGGAUAACAACCACUGGAUUAAAAUAUAUGUGUAAUAUACUAAUAUGUUAAAUAUGCAGAUUUUAAAAGUUAAUUUUGGCCGGGAUGUAAAAAGAUGGCUUUAUAGAAGAGAAAUGAUUUGAAUGGAAGGUCAGAUGUAGACAGAAGAAUUUCUUCAUCUCAACUCGCCUCACCACUACAGAUCCAAGCCUAACACAGAGCCUAACAGAAAUACUUUCCUCCAAAUACAACCCUGUUCACCAUGGAAGACACGAAAAGCUUCAGUGGUUGCUGCUGGGGGCCUUCACCACAAAACAGCCAUUCACCUUUGCUUUUGCUCUAUCUACAAAAUAUAUUCACCGGCACACUCCAGAAGUCAACUUUGAUUCAACUACAGCCUUCAGUUACCAGGCCUUAUCACACAUCUGUAAAACUGGGAAAUAAACAAGUGUUUAAAAUA